rnacentral:rRNA from 1 species
AGUUUGAUCAUGGCUCAGAUUGAACGCUGGCGGCAGGCUUAACACAUGCAAGUCGAGCGGGGAAGGUUGCUUCGGUAACUGACCUAGCGGCGGACGGGUGAGUAAUGCUUAGGAAUCUGCCAUUUAGUGGGGGACAACAUUCCGAAAGGAAUGCUAAUACCGCAUACGUCCUACGGGAGAAAGCAGGGGAUCUUCGGACCUUGCGCUAAAUGAUGAGCCUAAGUCGGAUUAGCUAGUUGGUGGGGUAAAGGCCUACCAAGGCGACGAUCUGUAGCGGGUCUGAGAGGAUGAUCCGCCMCACUGGGACUGAGACACGGCCCAGACUCCUACGGGAGGCAGCAGUGGGGAAUAUUGGACAAUGGGCGCAAGCCUGAUCCAGCCAUGCCGCGUGUGUGAAGAAGGCCUUUUGGUUGUAUUUCACUUUAAGCGAGGAGGAGGCUACCUAGAUUAAUACUCUAGGAUAGU